UUUGUUGUUUUUCUCUUCGCCGUAGAAUGUCUUCACCGGGAUUCCCCGGUAGUGGUGGUUCCUCUGAUUUCUACGGUGGAGCUGCUAGUUUUUCUGGUAGAUCUAUCACACUUCCAUCAUCCAACAUGAUCAACAACAUGAACAACAACAAUAUCAUCAACAAUAACAAUAACAAUUAUCUCUAAAAAAAAAACAAUAACAAUUAUCUCUCAAACAUAGCCACCAACACACAUAACCUUCAUCAACCUUUCUACCGAACCCAACAACAACAGCUUCCAUCGAUUUUCAUCGAUCCUUCUUCCCAAAUCCAUCUUCCCUCAUAGGGAAACGCACCCUUGCUGAAUUUCAAACCCAAAA
rnacentral:lncRNA from 1 species